rnacentral:lncRNA from 1 species
AACAAAAUCCUAACUCUAAUAGAAUAUUAACUAAACUCUAAUUAGACCAUAACAAUGUUAAGUAAGCUUUAAUCAAAUUCAAAGAAACCUUAAAAGAAUUACAAAGAAAUAAUAAGAAAUCUUAAAGAAACAUUAGAAUGAUCACAAAUAUAUCUCAAAUACAUCUCAAUUCAAUCUUAAUUUAAUCCUAAUUAAAAUCCUAUUGGACUUCAUUCAAAUUUUAGGCCAAAAACUAACUAAAUUUUAAAUCUUAAACAAAUCCUAAUAAAAUCCUAAAUCCUAAAUCCUAAAUCAAACCCUAAUAAAAUCCUAACCAAAUCUUAAAUCCUAAAUCAAAUCCUAACCAAAUCCUAAACCAAACCCUAAAUCAAGCCCUAGUAAUUCCUAUAAUAGAUUUAAACCUUGAUUACUAAUGAAUGAACUAUUGAUCUUAACUCAAAAUUUGCACACUUCUUAAGAAUUAAGUUGACAACAAGCACAAAAAAUUUGAAAAAGAUUGGAAUUACCAAAUAGAUGAUAGCCUCAAAAACGUACUUGGAUAUUCAUCGACCUCCUUCUCUGAGCUUAAUGCCAAUCUCCUAGAGCCAAUAUUUCUCCUUUUCACCAUUCAAUUGAUUUCAAAAUUCUCAUAUACAUAAGAAAAUAAUUCU